UAUUUGGUUGUAAACCUCUUUUAUUAGGGAAGAUGAUGACUUACCUAAAGAAAAAGUCCUGGCUAACUUCGUGCCAGCAGCCGCGGUAAUACGAAGGGCCCGAGCGUUAAUCGGAAUCACUGGGCUUAAAGGGUGUGUAGGCUGUUUUGUAAGUAUCUUGUGAAAUCCCAAGGCUCAACCUUGGAACUGCUGGGUAUACUGCAAAACUUGAGGUCGGUAGGGGCAGCUGGAACAAUAGGUGGAGCGGUGAAAUGCGUAGAUAUCUAUCGGAACGCCAAAGGUGAAGACAGGCCGCUGGGCUCGUCCUGACGCUGACGUACGAAAGCAUGGGUAGCGAACGGGAUUAGAUACCCCGGUAGUCCAUGCCGUAAACUUUGUUCACUAGGUGUUGGGGGCAUCGACCCCUUCAGUGCCAAAGAUAAUUCGUUAAGUGAACCGCCUGGGGAGUACGACCGCAAGGUUAAAACUCAAAGGAAUUGACGGGGGCCCGCACAAGCAGUGGAGCAUGUGGUUUAAUUCGACGAUACGCGAAGAACCUUACCAGGACUUGACAUCCGCAGAAUCCCCUAGAGAUAGGGGAGUGCCCUCGGGAACUGCGUGACAGGUGGUGCAUGGCUGUCGUCAGCUCGUGUCGUGAGAUGUUGGGUUAAGUCCCGCAACGAGCGAAACCCUUAUCUUAUGUUACCAGCACGUUAUGGUGGGGACUCAUAAGAGACUGCCCGUGGAAAGCGGGAGGAAGGUGAGGACGACGUCAAGUCAUCAUGCCCCUUACGUCCUGGGCUACACACAUGCUACAAUGGCCGGUACAAAGGGCUGCAAAACCGCAAGGUCAAGCGAAUCUCAUAAAACCGGUCUCAGUUCGGAUUGUAGUCUGCAACUCGACUACAUGAAGUUGGAAUUGCUAGUAAACGCAGAUCAGCUACGCUGCGUUGAAUACGUUCCCGGGCCUUGUACACACCGCCCGUCACACCAUGAGAGUCGGAAACACCCAAAGCCAAUGUGCUAACCUUCGGGAAGCAGUUGUCUAAGGUGGAGCUGGCGAUUGGGGUGAAGUCGUAACAAGGUAGCCGUACCGGAAGGUGUGGCUG
rnacentral:rRNA from 1 species